rnacentral:misc_RNA from 1 species
AAGUCGUAACAAGGUUUCCGUAGGUGAACCUGCGGAAGGAUCAUCAACAAAUCUAAAAUGAUAUAUAAUAGUAGUAAUGGGGUAAAACCUAUUAUUACUUUAUUAUCAUCAACCAAUGUGAAUUGGAUAAUAAUAAUAGUUAGUAAAAUAUAUAUUAUUAUUAUCUUAAUAUUAGUAGUAAUAAUAAUAAUAAUGAGAUUCUUUUGAAAAAAUGAGUAACAUUGUUAUUAUUAUUAUUAUAUUAACGAGUAUUUAAAAGAGUCUGAAAAAAUUAUUUAAUAAUAAUAUAUAAACAACUUUUAACAAUGGAUCUCUUGGCUCUU